UGCUUAAUGUGGGGUUUAUGGUUGGAAAGGAAUGACAGGUGCUUUAAUAACAAGGAGCGUGCAGUGGGGGAAAUCUGGAACUUUUUUGUAUUCUCCAUUUUCCAGUGGUUUUCUGCUAUUGUAUUGAAGGGAGGGAAUGUUCAUGAGUUUUUAUCUUCUUUUUAGCCUACUAGAAUAUAAUUAGGUGCCUCACUUAGUAUAUUUCCAGUGUACUUGGACAUCGCCUAAUUUCAUUCACAUCAAUAAAGAUCAUUACUUAUAAAAAAAAAAAAAGUAGAAAAAAAAAAAAAAAGCAUGGAAACCCAACUUAUUACACCCAA